CCAGCAGUUUCACAGUGCACAGUGACAAAAGAAAAUCCUUGUGCGGGAACCUCUGGUUCACCAUUGCUGAAGGACCCAUCAAAAGUAGUUUCUCUAAAACCAGAUCUGCUAGAAACCUUGCCACCUUCAGAACCAUCCAUUAACAGCAACAGUGAGACUGCUAAAGUUGAUAAUGCUAAUGUCACAGCUGGAGCCAAAAGUGACUGUCUUCAGGCAUCCAAAAACACUCUGGCUGGAAACCUUGGCACAAAUGAUACCUCAGAAAAAGUAACUGGAUGUUUAUUGCCAUACAAUAUGUUGUUUUCUUGUUUUCUCAUUUUGUUGUUCCACCUGUGAUCUAACUUGUAAAUUCACGUUUCCAUUCAGAAGCUCUUAAAUCUGGGAACAAUGGAAGUUCCAAUACUGUCUCUAUCUGUGGAUUCUGGUGAAAAAAUGUUGAAUAAGAUAGACUAUGUAAAAUCGCCAAACAAACCUAGUUGUGAAAGUGGUCAGGUGAACUCACAUCUGAAUUCUUUUUCAUGCCUUAUAAUCAUAAUUAGGUCAAGUCUUGACCUUUUCCUCUUCCUUUUUCAGGGUGAAUGCAUUGCCAGUAGUAGUGCUGCUGGAAAUUCAUUUGGUGAUCAGGCUGGUGAUAGUGUUGAACAAAUUGGGAAUGAGAUUGUUCAGUCAUCAUCAGCAUCAGUCGUACCAAAUGAAUCUCUACAGAAGAAAGUUCCUGAUUCCUCACCUCAACAGAAGUUAAAAAAGAAACUUUUGAAGCACGGGAUUCCAAACAUGCAUCUACAAAAAUUCUUUAGAGCAUCUUUGGGGCUACGGAAAAAGAAAAAACAUAAAAAGAGCAAGCGUUGCACUUUAGAGACCCAAUACCUUAUUAAAGAACAGUUGCUGGAGAGUAAUUGCUUUUCUUC
rnacentral:lncRNA from 1 species